UACGUAGGACCCAAGCGUUAUCCGGAGUGACUGGGCGUAAAGAGUUGCGUAGGCGGCUUAUUAAGUGGAUAGUGAAACCUGGUGGCUCAACCAUACAGACUAUUAUCCAAACUGGUAAGCUCGAGAAUGGUAGAGGUAAUUGGAAUUUCUAGUGUAGGAGUGAAAUCCGUAGAUAUUAGAAGGAACACCGAUGGCGUAGGCAGAUUACUGGACCAUUUCUGACGCUAAGGCACGAAAGCGUGGGGAGCGAACCGG
rnacentral:rRNA from 1 species